AAAGGCUGUCGCCGACUUGAAAGGGUCGUGCACGCCCAAAAGGUUUCCUCUCACGUGAAAUCCAUCUCACCCUUUUGUGCAUCACCGCGUGGGCUUCCCUCCUCGAGGGGGGCUCGCGUUUUUCACACAAACCCCCCAUUGUAAAUGUUUGUAGAAUGUCCUUAUUUUUUUUGCGUUGAACGCGAUCAAUACAACUUUCAACAACGGAUUCUUGGCUCUCGCAUCGAUGAAGAACGCAGCGAAAUGCGAUACGUAAUGUGAAUUGCAGAAUUCAGUGAAUCAUCGAAUCUUUGAACGCACCUUGCGCCCCUUGUAUUCCGAGGGGCACACCCGUUUGAGUGUCGUGAAAAUCUCAACCUCCUCGGUUUCUUUUAGAUGCUGAAGGAGGCUUGGACUUUGGAGGGCUUUGCUGGACUUGAAAGGCCAGCUCCUCUCAAAUGAAUUAGCGAGGUUCCCUUUGCCGAUCCUCGACGUGUGAUAAGAUGCUUCCACGUCUUGGUCUUUGGCUCUGUCGCU
rnacentral:rRNA from 1 species